GAUGAACGCUGACAGAAUGCUUAACACAUGCAAGUCAACUUGAACUUCGGUUUGGGUGGCGGACGGGUGAGUAACGCGUAAAGAACUUGCCUCACAGAUAGGGACAACAUUUGGAAACGAAUGCUAAUACCUGAUAUUAUGAUUUUAGGGCAUCCUAGGAUUAUGAAAGCUAUAUGCACUGUGAGAGAGCUUUGCGUCCCAUUAGCUAGUUGGAGAGGUAACGGCUCACCAAGGCGAUGAUGGGUAGCCGGCCUGAGAGGGUGAUCGGCCACAAGGGGACUGAGACACGGCCCUUACUCCUACGGGAGGCAGCAGUGGGGAAUAUUGGACAAUGGACCAAGAGUCUGAUCCAGCAAUUCUGUGUGCACGAUGAAGUUUUUCGGAAUGUAAAGUGCUUUCAGUUGGGAAGAAAAAAAUGACGGUACCAACAGAAGAAGUGACGGCUAAAUACGUGCCAGCAGCCGCGGUAAUACGUAUGUCACAAGCGUUAUCCGGAUUUAUUGGGCGUAAAGCGCGUCUAGGUGGUUAUGUAAGUCUGAUGUGAAAAUGCAGGGCUCAACUCUGUAUUGCGUUGGAAACUGUGUAACUAGAGUACUGGAGAGGUAAGCGGAACUACAAGUGUAGAGGUGAAAUUCGUAGAUAUUUGUAGGAAUGCCGAUGGGGAAGCCAGCUUACUGGACAGAUACUGACGCUGAAGCGCGAAAGCGUGGGUGGCAAACAGG
rnacentral:rRNA from 1 species